CAUUGCCUAUUAAAAAGUAUUUCCACUGAGACCAAAGAGGGUGCACUUCUGCCUUCUCACCUUUGCCUCUGGAGACAAGAUCAUCCCUGCUUUCCCUCCAUGACUAAUCAAAGACACUUCUGGGGAGCGCUAUUCGGAGCCUUGAUUCACGUCCCCUAAAGCAGAGAGGCAGGAUUCCCUGUUGAAAGAAAGAACAGUUAAUCUUUUCCCUAAGAGUUCUGCUGUGGGAUUUCAGCUAAAAGUCGAGAGCAGCCUUUCCGUAACAGCCUUAUAAUAUGCAGUUGCAGAGGAAACUGCUUUGAAAUCAAUGGCCCUCAAUGUUUUUACAUAUUUUUGCAGAAAUUAAGAACAGGAGAUCCUGAGAGAACAUUCAGCAACCUGGACAUUCAGUUGCUUAUUUCCUUAUGAAACUGGUCUUAAAUCCAGUCGAUGAGAACUUGAACUGGAGUCAGUUUUCAGGAGGCCAAGGUUUCUCUCUGGACAAGAAAAGCAUUACUUCUGACAGACUGUGGGACGUUGCUGGCCGUUUAGCUUCUACCUCUCCACAAGCAGAACCAGGCACAAGCCACUUCAGAAUUAAGGAUUCACUUACAUCAGUACCGAAUGAGUGCAAAAUGAAUGGACCUAAGUGAAUACUGAUUCAGGUUUCCAUUUCUACAUUGCUUCCUUAUUGAUGGAGUUCUUCAGCCCCUCUUCACUUGACAGAGAUUUACACAAUCAUCUACACAUGAGUUAAAAUACAAAAAGAACGCUUAAAUUCUUUUAUAAGAAUGUCAGAUCAUACACUGUAAAUCAUUAACAAGUUUUUUUCCUUAGUAUUUCAUUUCAUUUCAUACUCCUAUCCAUCUUGUAUUGCUUUCCACUCGCUUACUGAAAACUAUUUAAAGUUUGUAAGUAAACUAAAAUGUAAAACUGAAAUACUAAAAUAUAAAAUGUGCAGUCUUUUUUUACAUCCCUCUAUCAUCUCUUUGGUGUUCUGCACAAUAAUAAUAAAUGCUCUGUUUUUCU
rnacentral:lncRNA from 1 species